rnacentral:tRNA from 1 species
GGAAACGUGCCCGAAUUAGGGGUUACUUUGAUAGAGUAAAACACAGAGGUUAAAACCCUCUCGUCUCCC